CAUCAUUUAGUUCCAAAUGCUAGAACUCAUGCCCAUUUCAUUCAAAGCAUGUUAUUGAUUUGCAUAAGACAUAUUCAAGAUGAAGUUGUGUAGUUACCACCACCUUAGCCAAAAUGCCGUGUACCCUACUUCAUUUUUAUGUUAAAGUUAACCCUAUUGAUCCUUGUUAGCCUACAUUCUUUGUUAAACCACAUUAAACCUCACCUAGC
rnacentral:lncRNA from 1 species